rnacentral:tRNA from 1 species
AUCGUGCUGGUCAGGGGUAGGGCCUUUGAAGGGGCCUGGGGAGGGCACCACCAUGCGAUCGAUUCGCAUGCGCGUUC